GUCAGUAAAUUGUCCGCACAAAUAAAAUCAGCUCUCUUUCAUCACAGCGGUUGGUCGAAAGCUAUGAGUGCAAAAUUUAAGCAGAAUUAGUAGACUGGAUUAAAAUGCUAAAUUUGAAAGCUGUAAAGUCAAGGCAAGGCACCAGACCCGAGGAGUGCGGAUUACAGACCGACUCAUAUGAAUAUUGACUUCGGAAGAGAUCGUACAUGAUUCAAGGCGAGACGGGUACAUUCGGGUGCACUUGGAAUACAGCAGUGAAAAUGGAUUUAAAUGCCAUCAUAGAAAACAUGGAAACAGGGGAUCAAAAUGCCGCAUUGAUGGCACUACAGACGUAUAAUAAAGAGAAGGGUCAAUGCUUCAAAUUUAAUACAGAGGAUGAGGCAGAAAGAGAGGAUGGGAAGUUACAAGAGGUAUCAUUCUAAAGA